rnacentral:rRNA from 1 species
AUUGAACGCUGGCGGCAGGCCUAACACAUGCAAGUCGAGCGAGCGGCGGACUGGUGAGUAAUGUAUGGGGACUGCCCGAUAGAGGGGGAUAACUACUGGAAACGGUUGCUAAUACCGCAUACUAUCGGAUAACCCAUAUGGGAUUAGCUAGUAGGGGGGGUAAAGGCUAACCUAGGCGACGAUCUCUAGCUGGUCUGAGAGGAUGAUCAGCAACACUGGGACUGAGACACGGCGCAGACGCCUACGGAGGCAGCAGUGGGGAAUAUUGCACAAUGGGCGAAAGCCGGAUGCAGCCAUGCCGCGUGUAUGAAGAAGGCCUUAGGGUUGUAAAGUAAUUUCAGCGGGGAGGCGGUACCCGCAGAAGAAGCACCGGCUAACUCCGUGCCAGCAGCCGCGGUAAUAC